AGAUUGAACGCUAGCGGGAUGCUUUACACAUGCAAGUCGAACGGCAGCGCGGACUUCGGUCUGGCGGCGAGUGGCGAACGGGUGAGUAAUAUAUCGGAACGUGCCCAGUAGCGGGGGAUAACUACGCGAAAGCGUGGCUAAUACCGCAUACGCCCUACGGGGGAAAGGGGGGGAUCGCAAGACCUCUCAAUAUUGGAGCGGCCGAUAUCAGAUUAGCUAGUUGGUGAGGUAAAGGCUCACCAAGGCGACGAUCUGUAGCUGGUUUGAGAGGACGACCAGCCACACUGGGACUGAGACACGGCCCAGACUCCGUACGGGA
rnacentral:rRNA from 1 species